GUGCAAUUGCACCGUCUGGGGAUGAGCCUGCGGUCCAUUAGUUAGUUGGCGGGGUAACGGCCCACCAAGACGACGAUGGAUAGCCGGCCUGAGAGGGUGUACGGCCACACUGGAACUGAGACACGGUCCAGACUCCUACGGGAGGCAGCAGCUAAGAAUCUUCCGCAAUGGGGGAAACCCUGACGGAGCGACGCCGCGUGGAUGAUGAAGGCCGUAAGGUUGUAAAAUCCUUUUGUCGGUGAAGAAUAAAUCAAGGAGUGGAAAGCCUUGGUGAUGACGUUAGCCGACGAAUAAGCCCCGGCUAAUUACGUGCCAGCAGCCGCGGUAAUACGUAUGGGGCAAGCGUUGUUCGGAUUUAUUGGGCGUAAAGGGCGUGUAGGCGGCUCACCAAGUCUGGUGUGAAAUCGCAGGGCUCAACCCUGCAUAUGCGCUGGAAACUGGUGGGCUGGAGUUCUUGAGGGGAAGCUGGAAUUCCAGGUGUAGGGGUGAAAUCUGUAGAUAUCUGGAAGAACACCGGUGGCGAAGGCGAGCUUCUAUCAGAGGACUGACGCUGAGGCGCGAAAGCGUGGGGAGCAAACAGGAUUAGAUACCCUGGUAGUCCACGCUGUAAACGAUGUGCACUAGGCGUGGGGCCCGUACGGGUUCUGUGCCGUAGUUAACGUGUUAAGUGCACCGCCUGGGGAGUAUGCUCGCAAGGGUGAAACUCAAAGGAAUUGACGGGGGCCCGCACAAGCGGUGGAGCAUGUGGUUUAAUUCGAUCGUACACGAGGAACCUUACCAGGGCUUGACAUGUGCGUGAAUGUUCACGAGAGUGGGCAGCCCCGCAAGGGGCGCGCACACAGGUGCUGCAUGGCUGUCGUCAGCUCGUGUCGUGAGAUGUUGGGUUAAGUCCCGCAACGAGCGCAACCCUUACUGUCUGUUGCCAACGGGUUAAGCCGGGCACUCGGACGGAACUGCCGGUGACAAACCGGAGGAAGGUGGGGAUGACGUCAAGUCAUCAUGGCCCUUAUGUCCUGGGCUACACACGUGCUACAAUGGUCGGUACAAAGCGAAGCGAAACGGCGACGUGAAGCAAAUCGCAGAAAGCCGAUCUCAGUGCGGAUUGGAGUCUGAAACCCGACUCCAUGAAGUUGGAAUCGCUAGUAAUCGCGCAUCAGCAUGGCGCGGUGAAUACGUUCCCGGGCCUUGUACACACCGCCCGUC
rnacentral:rRNA from 1 species